rnacentral:lncRNA from 1 species
ACAGCCCUUCCUCAGUGGAAGUGCUAACUGGAAUUGAGUGGCUCAGAAACAAAUGGCAAAGAAGGAGGUGGAAAAGAAAGAGUUAUGAAACUUCAGCCCUUUUCCUCUAUUGCAUCCUCCAGUGCCAUGAACACAUUCUUCCAGAUGCAGUUAUUUGAAACUUGCCCUACUCCAUAGAAGCAGCAAGUCAUACGUUUUUAAAAAGAAACUCCGGUGGCAACGCAAGGAAUAGAUUGUAAAUGUGGAAGCUAGGGCCCAGGAAGCUGAGCGAGAGAUCAUGCAACAUUCCAGGCAAACCAUGAGAAGGGCCCGAUAGGAGGGGCAAUGAGGAGAAGCUGCAGAGACCAGACCUGAGAGGUACUGAGGAAGCAGAAUCAGUGGAGCAUGAUGCCGAAGUGAUUCCUGGAGACUCUGCCAGCAAGGCUCUUCCUCUAGCCACUGUAGUACCAAAGUAAAGGAGCACCAUGCUUGAACAUAUGGGUGCUCUCUCUCUCUAGGGACUUUAGAUCCUGAGCAAGCGACCACAUGGGUAGAAGCAACACAGUUAAUUCAUCCAAGCACGAAGAACCUGACCCAGACUAUUUCUACCACAAGAUUCUCCCUUCCAGCUUGGCUAUCUGUAAGUUUGAGAAGUCAACCUACCAAGUGACUAUUGACAUCUCCCUCCAGGAGAAUUUCAGUCCAUUGUUACUGAUUGGCAGAGUGCUUUGAGAUAUA